rnacentral:rRNA from 1 species
UUCCGGUUGAUCCCGCCGGAGGCGACCGCUUUGGGAGUUCGAUUAAGCCAUGCGAGUCGUGAGUCUUAGGGACUCGGCAUACUGCUCAGUAACACGUGGAUAACCUGCCCUAUCGUCUGGAAUAACCUCGGGAAACUGAGAAUAAGGCCGGAUAGUUCACAAUGCCUGGAACGGUUUGUGAAUCAAGGUAGGAUGGGUCUGCGGCGUAUCAGGUUGUAGGGGGUGUAAAGGACCCCCUAGCCUUCGACGCGUACGGGUGUUGGGAGACAUAGCCCGGAGAUGGAUUCUGAGACACGAAUCCAGACCCUACGGGGUGCAGCAGGCGCGAAGACUUCACACUGCAGGAAACUGUGAUGAGGGAACUCCUAGUGCAUGCACUAUGUGUAUGUAGAUCCUACUCUUAACAAGUAGAGGGAAAGGGCUGGGAAAGACCGGUGCCAGCCGCCGCGGUAAUACCGGCAGCUCAAGUGGUCGUCGCUUUUAUUGGGCCUAAAACGUCCGUAGCCUGUUUGGUAAAUCUGUGGGUAAAUCAAUCCGCUCAACGGAUUGAAUUCUGCAGAGACUGCCAGACUAGGGACCGGGAGAGGUGUGGGGUACUCGAGGGGUAGGGGUAAAAUCCUGUCAUCCUUCGAGGACCACCUGUUGCGAAGGCGCCACACUGGAACGGAUCCGACGGUCAGGGACGAAGCCUAGGGGCACGAACCGGAUUAGAUACCCGGGUAGUCCUAGGUGUAAACGCUGUGGACUUGGUGUCGGGGGUCCGCAAGGGGUCCCCGGUGCCGGAGUGAAGAUGUUAAGUUCGCUGCCUGGGGAGCACGGUCGCAAGGCUGAAACUUAAAGGAAUUGGCGGGGCAGCAC